UUUUCGGUUUUAUUCUUAAUGUAAUAAUAAGUAAUUUUUAUUUAAUUGAAUAUUGGGUGAAAUCCUAUUUUAUUUUUAUGUAAAUUUUUGAUUAUGAAGUUGAGAAAUCUAGUUUAUAAACUGGGAUUAGAUACCCCAUUAUUCUAGACGUUGAAUAUAAGACCUGAUAAAUAUUAGUUAUGCUCUUCAAAAUCAAAAAAUUUGGCGGUUUUUUAUUCCAAUCAGGGGAAUCUGUCCUGUAAUCGAUAAUCCACGAUUAAUAAAACUUUUAUUGUGCUUGUAUAUCGUCGUUGUUAAUUAUUUUUGGAAAUAUAUAAUUAUGAUAUAAUAUUAUAUUGGAUAUCAGAUCAAGGUGCAGCUUAUAUAAGUAGAGAUGGAUUACAAUAAAUUUAUUUUAAGAUUAAUUUUAGCAUUAUUAUUUUGAAUAUGGAUUUGAGUGUAAUUUUGGUUAUUAACCAGGAUGAAUUAGGCUCUAGAAUAUGU
rnacentral:rRNA from 1 species